rnacentral:rRNA from 1 species
UACGGGAGGCAGCAGGGGGAAUAUUGCACAAUGGGCGCAAGCCUGAUGCAGCCAUGCCGCGUGUAUGAAAAGGCCUUCGGGUUGUAAAGUACUUUCAGUCGUGAGGAGGUGUUAAGGUUAAUAACCUUAGCAAUUGACGUUAGCGACAGAAGAAGCACCGGCUAACUCCGUGCCAGCAGCCGCGGUAAUACGGAGGGUGCGAGCGUUAAUCGGAAUUACUGGGCGUAAAGGGCACGCAGGCGGUUAAUUAAGUUGGAUGUGAAAUCCCCGGGCUUAACCUGGGAAUGGCAUUCAAGACUGGUUAGCUAGAGUCUUGUAGAGGGGGUAGAAUUCCAUGUGUAGCGGUGAAAUGCGUAGAGAUGUGGAGGAAUACCGGUGGCGAAGGCGGCCCCUGGACAAAGACUGACGCUCAUGUGCGAAAGCGUGGGGAGCAAAC